rnacentral:rRNA from 1 species
CGACGGGUGAGUAGCGCGUAUGCAACUUGCCUAUCAGAGGGGGAUAACUCGGCGAAAGUCGGACUAAUACCGCAUGAAGCAGGGGCCCCGCAUGGGGAUAUUUGCUAAAGAUUCAUCGCUGAUAGAUAGGCAUGCGUUCCAUUAGGCAGUUGGCGGGGUAACGGCCCACCAAACCGACGAUGGAUAGGGGUUCUGAGAGGAAGGUCCCCCACAUUGGUACUGAGACACGGACCAA